rnacentral:ncRNA from 2 species
AAACGUUAUCUGGGGUGCCUUUUGGCUGAGAUACACCCAUUGAACCUGAUCUGGUUAGUACCAGCGAAGGGAGCAUAAUGGAACAUGACU